UGGGGAAUUUUGCGCAAUGGACGAAAGUCUGACGCAGCAACGCCGCGUGGGUGAUGAAGGUCUUCGGACUGUAAAACCCUGUCGUCAGGGACGAAGGUGGCGGAGUGAAUAGCUCCGUUACUUGACGGUACCUGGAGAGGAAGCCCCGGCUAACUCUGUGCCAGCAGCCGCGGUAAUACAGAGGGGGCAAGCGUUAUUCGGAAUUAUUGGGCGUAAAGGGCGCGUAGGCGGUUUUUUAAGUCAGAUGUGUAAUCCCCGAGCUCAACUUGGGAACUGCAUCUGAGACUGGAAGGCUAGAGUACUGGAGAGGGUGGUGGAAUUCCUCGUGUAGCGGUGAAAUGCGUAGAGAUGAGGAGGAACACCAGUGGCGAAGGCGGCCACCUGGACAGUAACUGACGCU
rnacentral:rRNA from 1 species